rnacentral:rRNA from 1 species
GACGAAGGGGGCUAGCGUUGUUCGGAAUUACUGGGCGUAAAGCGCGUGUAGGCGGUUGCCCAAGUCGGGUGUGAAAGCCUUGAGCUCAACUCAAGAAAUGCACUCGGUACUAGGUGACUAGAGGACCGGAGAGGAUAGUGGAAUUCCCAGUGUAGUGGUGAAAUACGUAGAGAUUGGGAAGAACACCAGUGGCGAAGGCGGCUAUCUGGACGGUUUCUGACGCUAAGACGCGAAAGCGUGGGGAGCAAACAGG